rnacentral:lncRNA from 1 species
CGGCAGCUGGAAGUAGUAUGCCUUCCUUUUCAACAACAGAUCCACGGCCAGGUUCUGCACAGAGCAUUGUGCGGCAUAGCGCAAAAGGCUGCCAAAGUCUUCUUGAUUAAGCUGGCUGCAUCGAACAGACACCGAGAAGGAAUGGAGCCUGCGGAUGCCGCGUCUGUCCAAUUCUUGGCGUAUGGGUUCUAUCUGCUUGCUGCUUGUGAACAGAUACUUCAGGUACU